AACAGGUGUGUGUGUGUGUGUGUGUGUGUGUGUGUGUGUGUGUGUUGUGUGUUUUUGUACAUUUAUGAAGCCGCAUCUUAACGUCCUGUUUUUCUGUAGCAGGAGUAUGUAUGCGUUGGAUGCUGGAUCUAUAGCUGUUUAGCUGUUUAUACUGCAGGUGUGUGCGUGUGUGUGUGCGUGUGUGUGUGUGCGUGUGUGUGUGUGUGUGUGUGUGUGUGUGUGUGUGUGUGUGUGUGUGUGACUGUGCAUGGCUAUUGAAGCUGUUGCAUGGGAACGGCAGAGGCAAAGGUAGAGCGCAGACCAACACUGUGUGGUGGCCUUAAGCCAACCACUGCUGACUUAGAGUGCUAACUGGAGAUUAGAAAACAUCACCAAUCAUAGACUACUCAUGUUACGCUGAAUCACAAUCAGAUGCUGUCUUGAUGAUGACAUCCUUCUCUUCAUAACAGAUGUAAUGUGCGUGUGCGUGUGCGUGUGCGUGUGCGUGCGUGCGUGCGUGCGUGCGUGCGUGCGUGCGUGCGUGUGUGCGUGUGCGUGUGCGUGCGCGUGUGUGUAUCUACAUGUAUGUGCAGAGGAAAACUGGCCUUGGACACUGUGAUGGAGAACUGUAGCUUGCAAACUGGUCAACCUGUACCAAUUACACUACUACUAUAAUAGAUCUCAUAAAGUUCAGUUCCAAACUGAGUUUCACUCUUUGCCCUUAGUCUCUCCAUGUUAUACUGGAGGUGAUCCCCCUGUUAUCCUCUCAGGUAAAGUUUAUCACUUUCAUGAUCUCUGUAACCACUCUGUUAAAGAACUCCAAAUAAAUAUUCACUUCUUCCACCA